rnacentral:lncRNA from 1 species
CUGUCCUUCUACAAUAUUAAUCCGGGCUUAAGGUUAGAGAGGAUGAGGGAUAGGAUGACUGGAGUCUCCCUUUUUGUUUAUGAUUAAUUUCUUAGUUAUUCUCACUGAGGUAUUUUUAAUGAAACCUUAAAAAUUCAAAUUAGUUUUAUUCAAAAACAAUAUUUACUGAGGAAGCAUAUAAGUGUGUAUGUGUAUGUAGGAUAAAUAUUUAACUUAUUAUUUUUGGCGUGUUGGGGGGGGGUGCAGUUUACGUAUAAACAUUUGUAUAAACAAACGUGUUGGAGAAAAGCAUUUGGGAAGUUUUUAACCCAUAUAGGUUUCCUGGAAAUUUGGUUGGAUUUUCAGAAAUACCCUUCAAUGUUUAGUUAAUAUAGUCUCCCCUCGGAGUGUUUUUCACUUUAACCACUGGUAUCAAGUAAUUUGUCAAAACAACCCUUCGAUAGCGGUACCUUCCGAAUACGGGCGAAUUAGUCGCCGUGAUUACUUUACUACAAAAGAUAGUCCCUCAACGAGGAGCGAGAUCCCGUGGCUAAAUUUUCAUUUCGGCGGCGGGUUUCAAUUUCAUUAUAGUAUAACAUUAUGGCCUAUUUAAAAUAAUUAAAAUCGUUCAUUAUAUUUGACAUUUUUAAAAUUUUUUUUUUCCCGUUAUAAUCAAUCGCCGUGUUAAUACGACGUAUGAUGCACGAAUAUCUUAUUUUAAUAACAUGCGUUUACCCGCUAUUAUUUAGCAAACCGCUGUGCGAAAUACUUGCGCAGGUCAGCUAUGGUGUAAUAAUAAUAUUAUAAUAACAGACAUCACAUUAUAGUAAUACCGAUACGAGGUUAUAUUUACACAGUUAGGACAAAUGAUUAAAUUUCACAUAUCAACGCAAUUGUAUAUUUAAUUAUGUCUUCUCUGUUAUGGUGCGCUCUACCUAUCUUCUAUUUCUAACGAUAUAUAUAAUAUGCACAUAUUAUUCGUAACUAUACGUUCAUUAUAUUAUAAUAGCUGUAUAAAUACUAUCGAUUGUGAAAUCGAUAGUAAUUUAUCAGGCACGAACUUAUAAAUACAAACGUUUCAUUUUUUCACAUAAGUAUACAUAAGUAUAGAAUAUUCAAAUAAAAACAUUUUGUCGGGCACAAUACGGACUAUAUAUGGCGUAUUUUAAGUCUGAUAAGUAAGUGUAACACGAGUUUCGUGAUAUAUUAUAAGAUAAGACGAUUCCGAGUCACGAGUAACUAAAAUAUUAUUAUAAUAUCGUUGCAAUAGAUAUAGGUGGUGCAUAAUAUAGCCUAGAUGGGUGUAUUCAAUUUUUUUUUUUUUAAUAAACCUUUACUUUGUAGGAACUAUAAUUUUAUAGUAAUACCAAGUUCGAGUUCUAAUACACGUCGUUACGGAUUUGAUUGAAAAUCGUAGACAUUAAAGUGAUUUAGACUCGAUUUAUGGUUUAGUAAUUCAUAUACUUAGCGUGCAUAUUACCAAUAAUUUUAAAUAAUUUUGUACACAUCGAAUAAUGUAACAAAUUAUUUGCAGGAAUUGCCUGUUGGACAAUUCCUCAUCAAAAAUGAAUAUUCGAGAUUUUAUAAAUUAUACGUGUUACGUUUUUCUUGGAUUACUUUACUUAUCUAUAUUUUGUAAGUAUAUAAUUUUAAUAAAAUAAUAGUUAUUUAUACUAUCAUAGUCCACUUUUAUACACUAUACCUACUAAAGAAGGGUUGAAUGGAAGGUUAGGGGAUUUAUCUCUAGUUCUGGAGCAUUUGUAUAGUUGCCAACAUUUGCGUAGAUAUACCGUAUACCGUCUAUUAUUAUGAUAAUAAUAUUAGACCCAUAGAUACAAUUAAAUAAUUUGAAACUGAACAGGUUUAUUAAAAUGGUUUUGGCGUUCAAAAAACGAUUAUGAGUGUAAAGGGUUUAUUAGAAUGUCGAUAUUUAAAAAUAAUCUUC